rnacentral:rRNA from 1 species
UACGGAGGAGGCAAGCGUUAUCCGGAAUUAUUGGGCGUAAAGCGUCCGUAGGUGGCUAGUCAAGUCUGCGGUCAAAGACUGGGGCUUAACCCUGGAAAGGCCGUGGAAACUGACGAGCUAGAAUGCAGUAGGGGUAGAGGGAAUUCCCGGUGUAGCGGUGAAAUGCGUAGAGCUCGGGAAGAACAUCGGUGGCGAAAGCGCUCUACUGGACUGCAACUGACACUCAGGGACGAAAGCUAGGGGAGCGAAUGGG